rnacentral:rRNA from 1 species
ACUCAAAUGAAUAGACGGGGACCCGCACAAGCGGUGGAUGAUGUGGUUUAAUUUGACGAUACGCGAAGAACCUUACCCAGGCUUGACAUCCUAGGAACCUUUGAGAAAUCAGAGGGUGCCCUCGGGAGCCUAGUGACAGGUGCUGCAUGGCCGUCGUCAGCUCGUGUCGUGAGAUGUUGGGUUAAGUCCCGCAACGAGCGCAACCCUUGUCGUAUGUUGAAUUUUUCAUGCGAGACUGCCCGGGCCAACCGGGAGGAAGGUGGGGAUGACGUCAGGUCAGCAUGGCCCUUACGCCUGGGGCUACACACGUCAUACAAUGGCCAGUACAACGCGUUGCCAAGUCGCAAGACGGAGCUAAUCGCACCAAAACUGGUCUCAGUUCGGAUUGGAGGCUGCAACUCGCCUCCAUGAAGUCGGAAUCGCUAGUAAACGUGGGUCAGCAUACCACGUUGAAUACGUUCCCGGGUCUUGUACACACCGCCCGU